rnacentral:rRNA from 1 species
AGAAGUCGUAACAAGGUUUCCGUAGGUGAACCCUCGAAGGAUCAUUG